AUUCCAGCUCCAAUAGCGUAUAUUAAAGUUGUUGCAGUUAAAACGCUCGUAGUCGGAUUUCGGGGCGGCUUCGUCGGUCUGCCGAUGGGUAUGCACUGACGCGGGCGUCCUUCCUUCCGGAGACGCGUCCUACUCUUAGCUGAGCGGGGCGUGGAGACGGAUCGUUUACUUUGAAAAAAUCAGAGUGUUUCAAGCAGGCAUCAUCGCUCUUGCAUGGAUUAGCAUGGGAUAAUGAAAUAGGACCUUGGUGCUAUUUUGUUGGUUUCGAGCACCGAAGUAAUGAUUAACAGGGACAGUCAGGGGCACUCGUAUUCCGCCGAGAGAGGUGAAAUUCUCAGACCAGCGGAAGACGAACCACUGCGAAAGCAUUUGCCAGGGAUGUUUUCAUCA
rnacentral:rRNA from 1 species